UACGGAGGGGGCUAGCGUUGUUCGGAAUUACUGGGCGUAAAGCGCACGUAGGCGGACUGUUAGGUCGGGGGUGAAAUCCUGGGGCUCAACCUCAGAAUUGCCUCCGAUACUGGCAGUCUCGAGUGCGGGAGAGGUGAGUGGAAUUCCCAGUGUAGAGGUGAAAUUCGUAGAUAUUGGGAAGAACACCCGUGGCGAAGGCGGCUCUCUGGGACGGUACUGACGCUGAGACGCGAAAGCGUGGGGAGCGAACAGG
rnacentral:rRNA from 1 species